rnacentral:pre_miRNA from 1 species
AAGCUACUCCCUCUGAUCCAUAUUAAUAGUCGAAAUAUUACAUGUAUCUAGACACUUUUUAGGGAUAGAUACAUCCAUAUUUGGGCAAAUUUGAGACAAUUAAUAUGGACCGGAGGGAGUAGUAG